AUUGAACGCUGGCGGCAUGCUUUACACAUGCAAGUCGAACGGUAACAGGGAGCUUGCUCCGCUGACGAGUGGCGAACGGGUGAGUAAUGCGUCGGGACGUGCCGAGUAGUGGGGGAUAACGCAGCGAAAGUUGUGCUAAUACCGCAUACGUACUGAGGUAGAAAGUGGGGGACCUUCGGGCCUCACGCCAUUCGAGCGGCCGACGUCUGAUUAGCUAGUAGGUGAGGUAAAGGCUCACCUAGGCGACGAUCAGUAGCGGGUCUGAGAGGAUGAUCCGCCACACUGGGACUGAGACACGGCCCAGACUCCUACGGGAGGCAGCAGUGGGGAAUUUUGGACAAUGGGCGAAAGCCUGAUCCAGCCAUGCCGCGUGUCUGAAGAAGGCCUUCGGGUUGUAAAGGACUUUUGUCGGGGAGGAAAUCCCCAGCGCUAAUACCGCUGGGGGAUGACAGUACCUGAAGAAUAAGCACCGGCUAACUACGUGCCAGCAGCCGCCGUAAUAC
rnacentral:rRNA from 1 species